GGUGUUGUAUUUACUGUAUAUUAUCGCUUAAUUACGUGAUGAAAUAUUGGUCGCGCAUAACAUUGAAGGACGAGACUUUGUCAUGCAAACCGAUGGUCGGUGGUGUUGAAGUCGUGGCAUUUAUUAUGUAUUUAUUUCAUACUUUGCGCGAUGAACAUUUCGUCGCUCAAAGGUUAUGUGUGACGAAGGCUUCGUCGUGUAAAGUGUUACAUGUUCUGUAUAAGCACAUAUUGUUUUGCAAUUUACUUCACAUUGUUUUGUACAUAUGAUGGCCGAUAAUAGGGAUAGUAGGAGAGUAUCGGUCCAGGAUCGAAUGGUGGAAAGAAACAGCAUGCCCCCUGGGCCCUAUGAUAUGAUGCAAUAUGUGGAGUUUGCGCAUUCGAUUCGUUUAGCAAUGCAGACCAAUUAUCCUACUAUUGAGUGGUGCUCUUGGAAAUUUGUGCCCGAGGACGUGAAGAAGACGGUGAUGGAUCAACUAUUAUAAGUGUGACAAAUGUUGAAAAUAAUUAUUUGCAUAUAUGUGUAACAUUGUAACUAUACUCUUAAUGAUACGAACUAAGAGUUGAUGAAGUUGAUAGAGCAGGUGUUGAAGAGGGGUUACAAGCAGUGGCGUUAUGACAUGGAGCGGAAUAGAGGACCAGCGGAGUAGUUUUAAAUUUAUAUUUUUUAGGACAUAUUAAUUUUUAAGGUUGUAUUUUAAGUUAUGUAUUUGGACUUAAUUAGCCCUUAAUUCAUGUUUUGUUAUUUAAAUAAUUGAUUAGGUUAAUUUACUUUAUUUAAGUUUUAUAUUAUUUUUAGAAUAAAUAUUAUAAUUGAAGAAGUCUUUGUAAUUAUGAAAUUUACUUAAUUAUAGAUUAUAAAGAUCUAUGUUUACGUAAAUUUCAUAAUUAUAAUCAAUUACGUAUCUGAUCGUUGCUAAACAUUUUGCGCGACGAAAUAUUCGACGCAAUAAGUAUGUCCGACG
rnacentral:lncRNA from 1 species